GGGGAUGUAGUUUAAUGGAAAAAUACUUCUUUCGCAUCAUCGUGAAAGUAGAAGUGCCCUGGGUUCGAUUCCCAGCAUCUCCA